rnacentral:rRNA from 1 species
CGGAACGGGUGAGUAACGCGUGAGGAACCUGCCUCAAAGAGGGGGACAACAGUUGGAAACGACUGCUAAUACCGCAUAAGCCCACGGCUCGGCAUCGAGCAGAGGGAAAAGGAGUGAUCCGCUUUGAGAUGGCCUCGCGUCCGAUUAGCUGGUUGGUGAGGUAACGGCCCACCAAGGCGACGAUCGGUAGCCGGACUGAGAGGUUGAACGGCCACAUUGGGACUGAGACACGGUCCAA